CAGUGAUCAAACUCCAGGUAUAAAUCCCCUUUUCCACAACCCAGGGAUAUCCCAGAUUCCACUGCCAGUGAGUCUCAGUUUAAGGGGAAUUAUUAAGGAAUUAUUUAAGAGGAAGCUGAGCACAAAUUCCCUAUUCCCCUUCAAUUCAGGGACACACUUUUUAAAGGAAUCCCAAAUCAUAAUAAGAAUUCCUCAUGGAAUGAAGGAAAAAAUCAAUUUAAUCUUAAUCUCCAACCCAGCUGUGAGGAAAAAACAAAAACACCACCAAAAAAUAUUAUUUUUGAGAUAGAGAAAGAAAAUUAUUCCCUAAUAAUUCAAGUACCAGAGCCCCUCUCUGGCCCAAAAUUUGCUAACCUGGUCUUUAUAAUCUCCACAAACAAAUUCUCCCAUAAAAUCCUUUCCCUGUGCCAAUCUUGAACCUCCUGGGGGGAAAUUUGCAUGUCAGCCAUUCAAAGCUCAUUUGUUUGGAUAAUUCAAGCAAAUGUUCCCUCUCUUUUCAGGCACACAGUAAUGAAAUGUUGAUUUCCAAGGCAGGAAAACUGCAUUUUCUCCAUGGUGCUCCUGCCACCUCCUGCAAACUCAGAUAUUGUUUGGCACCAUGGAUUUUGUCAUAUUAAUUAAUGUAUUCUGCUGUCCUCAAGGGAAAACUUGGAUUUUCUGAAGGGUUUUCCUUCUCAACUCAGCCUAGUGAUGCAGCAAAGCAAAAGCUAAAACUGAAAAAAUUCUGUCUGAUUUGAAGUUCCUUUAAAUCAAAAGUUAAAACUGAAAAAAAUCUGAUUUGAAGUUCCUUUAAAUCAAAAGUUAAAACUGAAAAAAUUCUGAUUUGAAGUUCCUUUAAAUCAAAAGUUAAAACUGAAAAAAUCCUGUCUGAUUUGAAGUUCCUUUAUAUCAAAAGCUCCUCAAAGUGGGAAGAGAGAGACCUUCUUAGGGAAUGAUUUCCCUCACACGUCUGCCUCCCUUUUGUGGGAGUCUCCAGUGUAUAAAUGAACUCAAAAAGAGUCCAGAAUAAGGAAAAUGCAGAAUAUAAGCACUGAAUUCCCUGCCAGCAGCCCAUCCAUCCCUGCCUCUGGCAGUGGGGAGCCACUCCCUGUGUCCCCUUGUCCCCAGUCCCUCUCCAGCUCUCCUGGAGCCCCUCAGGAUUCCCAGAGAAAUUCACAUUAAUGGGAAACACCCCAAACGUUUUUGCAGAUCGUUGCACAACACCAGGGGAAGUUUAGAUAUUCACUACACCCAGAAAAGUCUUUAUUUGCAAAGAUUAUCUUAACAAAUUCCAGAGUCCAGUACUCCUGAUCUGGAGCUGAAUAUCAGGAUCAGCAGCAAGGACUGGUCUUUAUUUGGUGUUUUGUUUGUCUGAUGAACCUGCAUAACUAAUAGAAUGCAAUACAUGAUCAUUAAUACAAAUUAACAAAGUCUUCACGUGAUUAUUGCAGCAAUCAUUGGUUGCAAACUGUGGGAAAUGAAUUUGUAGAGAAAUCUUAAAGUGUGACCCAACUAUUUCUGAGUUACAGUACACUAUAAACAUUUUUAACCUAUCAACUUUCAUCACACCAUAUUAAAAAUACCUUAAAACCAAUCAUUGAAAUGACCCCUCAUAAAUCUUACUACAACCCAUCUUUCAUAUUCUAUUUCUCCAAAAUAGCUCAUCUUUUUUACAAAAGCACCCUUUAAAACUUGUUUAUAAUUCCAUUUCUCUCUCAGCAAUAUCUAUCCCAUUCCAUUUCUAAAUCAACAUUUCUUACCUCAAGAUUUACAUACAAACACACAUUAUGUGAGCCUUCUGUCAGACUGGAACAUUUCUCUACACGAAAUUCUCGACAGGAAACCAAACAAAUUCAAUCUUCCCAGGCCAGGAGGAAGCCAUGGAGAGCCUCCCCUUUUCCUCAUGGCUGUCACCCCUGGAGCAGCUGCCCAGGAAAGGGCUGGAAUCAGCACCCCUGCAGGUGUCCCAAACCAGCUGCAGGUGGCACUUGGGGACAUGGACUGAUGGGAUGGACUCCAUGAUCUUAAAAACUCUUUUCCAACUUUAAUUCCAGGAUGAAAAAUUAUUCCAGCAAUGACCAGAGCUGGAUUCAAAGGCCUGAGGAGAAUUUAUUCUGAGGGAUAAAAUACUUUCCUUAGUAAACAAUCCAUUCUGCAAAUACCAUCUUAGAACUCCUCUCAAAUUAAAAUUAUUUAAGCUUUAGCUGUGAUCUAACUCCAGGUAUAAAUCCCCCUUUCCACAACCCAGGGAUAUCCCAGAUUCCACUGCCAGUGAGUCCCAGUCCAAGAGAAAUUAUUCCCCUUGGAAGCUGAGCACAAAUUCCCUGUUCUCCUUCAAUUCAGGGACACACUUUUUAAAGGAAUCCCAAACCACAAUGAGAAUUCCUCAUGGAAUGAAGGAAAAGCCACUAAAAUGUGUUGUUAUUGGGAGCCUUACACAAAUUAUCAUCCAGUUUGCCAGAAAAACCUCUUUCCAAAACGUUCCCUGCUUCCCUGGACAAUUUUGGCUCUAGCAGAGGAGUUUUGAGGAGGUCUCAGCUGCAAGGCAGGUUAUGGGUUCAUCAAUCAGUAGUGGCACCUUGGUUUGGUGAUAAUCCAUGGGGAAUUCUGGCUGGCCCAUGCCCAAGGGGCUGACCCACCUCAGCUCCAGCCUGGGAAGGGAAGUUCUGGGGGGAGGCCUCAUGCAGAAGGAAAACCAGGACACAAACAGGAGUUCAGGGAGCCAUGGCUCCCAAACCCAGGCCCAAAAGCAGCCUCUGGCUCUCUGCCCCUUCUCCCAGGCUUUGCCAGUGACAUCUGCCCUGCCUGUGCACUCUCCUGUCUGCAUUCCCUGGCUUUCCAGUCUGGGAUGAGCUGUCAAUCAUUUCCUGCUUCUAUUUCCAGCCCUGAGCAGUGUCACACUCCAGCUCAUCUUUAUUAAUGCCCAGCUGCAGCCAAAAGCAGCCCUGACCUCUGGCACCACUCCAGUGCCAGCUGUGCCAGCCCAGCCCCCAAGGUGACUGGCACCACUUUUCCAGCCUCUCCCUGACUCUGUCCUGGCCUCUGUGAGUGCCAGCUGUGCUGCAAACACCUGUUUGGGGCUGGACACGUGGAAAGGAGAGCUGGAAAACCCUGCAGGGCCAGCACAGAGGGUGAGGGAGCAGCCUCUGGUUGAAGAGCUGCUCCAAGACAAGGCCUGCAAGGCUUGGUCAGUCCCAUUCCCUGCCUCCAAGGGAUGGUGCCUCUGGCCAGGGGACAACAGAUGGCUUUGGGAGCAUUUAGUGACGGCAAAUUCCUGGCACUCUAAGGGUCAUAUGGCAGAUCCACAUUCCCGAAGAUGGCACUGCCAUGGGACAGGAAUUCCUGGGAGAAGGCCACCCCUGUUCUUCAGUGGAUCUUCAUUUUCUGCCCAGCCAUUCCCAGGGAAGCAGAGAGAACUUUUUGCCUCAAGGACACUCGUGGGAACAACGAGCUGCCACCUAUCAAAGGAUAAUGGGAUCCAAGAAAAUCAGGGAUAGUGCCAAUCCUCAGGCAAUGCACACUGCAAUUGUUCUGGAAUUGCACCAUCAGCAAAGGUAACAGUGAACGGCCUGCUGGGAGCUCAAAGGAAUGAAAAGCACCCAGGAACUCCUAACUCAUGGACACUGAGCAAAAACUCCAGGGGAGCAAGGCUCCUGCUGCAUGGAUACCCCAAGGAGCACAGCUGUUAAUGCUCCAGAGCAGCUGGAAGGGACCCCAGCUCUGAGGGCUGCAGGAAACAAACCUCAGCAAAGAGAGAAGGGACAGACACCGAGCCCCAAACCACCAGCACUGCUGAAUGCCACUGCUUGAUUCCAGGGGUAUUUUCAGGGAUCUCAGGAAAGACAGGACUUCCCAAGGUUAGGGACACUGGCAGCAACAACCAGCCAGAUCACAUCCAGGGUAUUCCCAGCAUGUAUCCAACAGGAUAUGGGGUGGAUGGGACAGAUCCCAACAACACAUUCCUCAGGCUGUGGAUAUGGGAGAGAUGGGACAGAUCCCAUCCAGUCCAUUCCCUGGAUAUGGCAUAGAUGGGACAGAUCUCAUCCAGUCCAUUCCCUGGAUAUGGCAUAGAUGGGACAGAUCCCAUCCAGUCCAUUCCCUGGAUAUGGGAUAGAUGGGACAGACCCCAUCCAAUCCAUUCCCUGGAUAUGGGAU